CAUUAGAUGACUGAAAGCAAGUAAUGGUCUCUUAAACCAAACUAUAGUAAAUUAGCAUCUACUUCUAAUGA
rnacentral:tRNA from 1 species